GCAUUUAUUUACCAAAUAUUGUCAAUUUCAAUAAUCCAUUGUUGUUCUGUUGUAGGAGGGUGUAAUUUGUGAUUAUCAAAUUAAAAUGAAUAAGCCAUUGAGUGCAGAUGAUAUUGCGGCCAUGGAGAGCCAGUUGCGAGACUGUGUGGCGGAAGACAGAAAGCACUGGCAGAUCAACGAUGUGAAAUGCGAUGCCAUUUACACUGCCAAGUCCUAUGAGGAGUUUGCGGAUCGCGUAGCAGCAGCGCACUUGCGACCUCUGGAGAAAAGUGACUUUAAAAAUAAAGCCACAAGGAGCUGGAAUCAGUAUGCAGCGAAAGAAAAGGAAGACCAGGAAUAGCGGCAUAUUGUGUUGAUUAUAACAUAUGGUUCAGUAUUUAUUUAGAAUUAGAAUGCACCAUUUAAAUACAGAGGUGUUAUGAUCUUGAA